UACGGGGGAGGCAAGCGUUGUUCGGAUUUACUGGGCGUAAAGGGCGCGUAGGCGGCCACCGCAAGUCAGUUGUGAAAUCUCUGGGCUUAACCCAGAACGGUCAGCUGAUGCUGCGGGGCUAGAGUGCAGAAGGGGCAACUGGAAUUCUCGGUGGUAGCGGUGAAAUGCGUAGAUAUCGAGAGGAACACCUGCGGCGAAGGCGGGUUGCUGGGCUGACACUGACGCUGACAGCGCGAAAGCUAGGGGAGCGAACGGG
rnacentral:rRNA from 1 species